UUAAAUUAAAAACUCAUCACUUGCUAAUUGUUUUCCUAUGUCUAACUAUUCACAUUAUUUAUAAGAUUAUUUGUGUCUACUGUAUCCAUAUAGGGAAAUAUCAAAAUUUCAGCCAAGAAAUUGCUUACAUCAUUAAAGAACAAGUGACAUGCUGGCAUACUCUUCAUCGUUUCACUUCCUUCUUGCCUGUUAGGAUAAGCAGCGUUCAUGUCAGAACUACACCCUACGUCAAUCACAACAACUUCCUGGCUGCGUCUCCCUGCCACGAAUGAAGAGUUCUGGCUCCUGGGGCUCCUACUUUGUCCCACUGUUAGCAAGACAGCUUCAGCAAAUCUCUCGCCUUCCUAAGGAAGAUUCAGGCAGCCCCUGUUAUUGCCCGAACUCCAGGGUAUACAUGUACAAUUUCUCCAAACUGUUAUUUCUAAGCUCAACACAUGUAUCUUGAAAGGUGCAAGCAGAGAAACUCACAGUUCACCUGUUACUCCCUUCAGAGAAAUCCUCUCUCUCUUCAGUCUCUUUCACUUGGGUCCCUCUCAGUUUCUUAUGUGAAAAUGGGAGCUGACAGUGGGUGAUGGGUCUCAGGUUUGGGACACUCUGUUGUCCUGUCACCUGGCACCGAAGUGUGGGCUCUUACCACCUGUUGUUUCCAUCUUUGGGGACUCACUGGCAACGGCAACAGAAAGGGAAGUAGUUGUGAUUCGGAAGUCAGAGCUUGUGUCACUUAGAUUGUCCGUAUACUUUUCUCAUGGCCUAUUAAUUUCUCAUUUGUUCCUGCCACUUGUCACACAGGAGGCUCCAUGCUAAGUCACCCCUCCAUCAACCUGUUUGUGUACUGUUCAUCACUACCACAUUCCCAAUUCCUUCAGUUUAUGUUACUAUCGCUGUUACCAAAUCUGUGCAAACAGGUCUCCAUGAGUUGCACUAAAGGAGAGAGAGAUAGUAGUUUGGGAUAAUAUUGAAUAUGGAGAUGUUAAGAAAGAAAAUUCACAGAUGCAUAAUGGAGUCACUUAAAUUAUGGCCCCCAUGUCAGUAAACCAAGAGUUAAUGUCUAACUUAACUUCAGUUUCAACAUUCCUUCUGGAUCGUAAUCUUUAACCAGCCACUCUGGAAUUUCCUGGAGGCAAUCUCUGGGAGACCUUCCUGUUUAGGAGGGCAACCUUGGCUAAACAUCACAUUCCUUGCUAAUAAACUCCUUUCUUUUUUUUAGGCUGUCUUUGCCUUUAAAAAACCUUUCAUUCCUAUAAACUAUUAGCGUUCCUGCAAACUACUGCUUGCAAGAAGGGAUGCUGCCGGAUUCAUGAAUAUUUUAAUAAAGCCAAUUAUAUCUUCAAAUGUACUUGAUUGAGUUUUUUUUUUUAACAGAUCUGGUGGCAACAGUGGGAUCUGAAGCCUACUGCUGAUGGCAUUUGGAGAGAAUGAAAACCAUAGGUGUGGCAUCCCUUUUGAGUUGAUUCUCUUUCUCACAGUUUCUGAGGGCCAUUGAUUAUUGCCCGUUCGUUUGUGGGCCCUUCAGUGAGGGCUUCUUACCUGCUGACUCCCGGGCUGUGAGGAAAACCUGCGGCCUCACGUGCCCAGAGCCCAGAGUACCGUGUUUGAAUGGAGAAGAAUCAGCACAGCGACGAACGCUCUGCACUCCACGGCGUGAAACCCAUGGGGUCACCUGACACCCCCUGGGAAGGGCUAGGAAGACGUCUGCCGGCCCCCGGAGGACCUGACGGCUAAGCGAAGAACCGAGGGACCCAUAGGCUCCAGCCAGACGUUAGGGGCUGUGUUGCAGGCCAGGAACAGUAAAUCUGUGAAAGCUGUGCUUUGAUUUAUGAUCUGAUGUUGGCUGACGUGUAGUGAUUGAAAUAAUGGAAAUCCAAUAACCAUUUUCACCCUGUGAUCUUCAGAUAAUCAUUCUUCGGGUUAUAAUUUCAUUUUGGGUAAGGAGGGCACAAGGAGAUGCUUUUUACAAGUCAACGAGUUUCUUCCUAGAAAGGCCCCCCCUUCCCAGCCCAUCCAAACAUUUCAGCUAUACCCAAUUCUUUCUACCCUUCCCCUACUUUAUUUUUUCUCCCUUGCACUUACAUUAUCCAACCUACUAUAUAUUUUAGUGAUAUCUUGUUAUUUUCAGUGUCUUCCACUGGAAUGUAAACUUCUUAAAGAAUGUUGGUCUGUUUUGUUUACCACUGAAUCCCAAGUGCAAAGAACAAUGCCUGGCAUAGAG